AGUGGAUGGGGAGCAACCUAGUUGUGCGUGUGUAAAGGUAGUGCCAAGAAAAGCGAUGAUCAUGUUGAAAAUCAAUUCCCGGUACCCGAAACCGACACAGGUGGGCAAGUAGAGAAUACUAAGGGGCGCGAGGUAACUCUCUCCAAGGAACUCGGCAAAAUGACCCCGUAACUUAGGGAGAAGGGGUGCCACCGAGAGGUGGUCGCAGUGAAGAGGCCCAGGCGACUGUUUAGCAAAAACAUAGGUCUCUGCAAACUCGAAAGAGGAGGUAUAGGGGCUGACGCCUGCCCAGUGCCGGAAGGUUAAAGAAGUUGGUCAGUUUUAGGAUGAAGCUAGCGACUGAAGCCCCGGUGAACGGCGGCCGUAACUAUAACGGUCCUAAGGUAGCGAAAUUCCUUGUCGGGUAAGUUCCGACCCGCACGGAAGGCGUAACGAUCUGGGCGCUGUCUCGGAGAGAGGCUCGGCGAAAUAGGAUUGUCUGUGAAGAUACGGACUACCUGCAUUUGGACAGAAAGACCCUAUGAAGCUUUACUGUAGCUUGGAAUUGUGUUCGGGCUUCCUGUGCGCAGGAUAGGUGGAGGCGUAGAAGGUAUUCUUGUGGGGAUACUGGAGCCAACGGUGAGAUACCACUCUCAGGAGGCUAGAAUUCUAACUUAAUUAAGGACAGUUUCAGGUGGGUAGUUUGACUGGGGCGGUCGCCUCCAAAAAGGUAACGGAGGCGUACAAAGGUUCCCUCAGACUGGUUGGAAAUCAGUCGAAGAGUGCAAAGGCAGAAGGGAGCUUGACUGCGAGAAGUACAGUUCGAGCAGGGUGGAAACACGGUCUUAGUGAUCCGACGGUGCUGUGUGGAAGGGCCGUCGCUCAACGGAUAAAAGUUACUCUAGGAUAACAGGCUGAUCUCCCCCAAGAGUUCACAUCGACGGGGAGGUUUGGCACCUCGAUGUCGGCUCAUCGCAACCUGGGGCGGAAGUACGUCCCAAGGGUUGGGCUGUUCGCCCAUUAAAGCGGUACGUGAGCUGGGUUCAGAACGUCGUGAGACAGUUCGGUCCAUAUCCGAUGUAGGCGUGAGAAUAUUGAGAGGAGCCUUCCUUAGUACGAGAGGACCGGGAAGGACGCACCGCUGGUGUACCUGUUAUGAUGCCAAUUGUAAACGCAGGGUAGCCAAGUGCGGAGAGGAUAACCGCUGAAAGCAUCUAAGUGGGAAGCCCACCUCGAGAUGAGUAUUCUGGUGUAAGGUCACGGGAAGACGACCCGUAAAUAGGCACGAGGUGGAAGUGCAGAGAUGUAUGAAGCCGAAGUGUACUAAUAGACUGUCGGCUUGACC
rnacentral:rRNA from 1 species